AAGGGAAGGUCAAAAUUUGCCCUAAUAAUACUGUUUAAAAUUACGGAGAAUUAGUGUUAGGUAUUGUAAGAAAGUACAAUUAAAAAAUAUCAUAUUUGUUUCAAUACAUAAUAUCGCAUUUCACAUAUUGCAAUAAGUCGAUUAUAAUAUAAUUUUUACGGUUGUACAGGAAAACACAAAAAUAUAUCUACAUAUGCAUACUUUUGCCUCAAUUUUAUUUUGACUAUUAUAGAGUUCCAUUCG
rnacentral:lncRNA from 1 species